rnacentral:lncRNA from 9 species
CACAGUUGCAAGGUGCACGUUUUAUGUAAAGCAGCACAGAACUAAUUAUAAGAAGAUAUUGAAAUGUUAAAUGUGUAUGUUGUCAUUCCUAGAGCACCCGUAAAAAUUAUAAUGCAAAAAUACAGUGAAAAAUCUGGUAUAUAUGUUCAAAUGACUUUCUUUAAAAAAUAGGCAGUAAAUAAAUGCAUGAACAGAGAAACAAAAACCCCAAAAAAGAGAGUACAAAAGAAAGCAAAUAGUAACACAGAGGACCCAAUUCAGCCUUAUCAAUAAUUCCAUUAAAUGUUAAUGGAUGAAGCACUCCAAUUAAAAGACACAGAUUGUCAGAAUGAAUUUUUAGAAAGCACUGAACUAUGUAUCUUCUAUAAGACAUACAUUUUAAAAUAAUGACACGAUGGAAGUUCCCCUUGUGGCUCAGAGGUAACAAGCCUGACUAGCGUCCAUGAGGAUGCAAGUUCAAUCCCUGGCCUCACUCUGUGGGUUAAGGAUCCAGCAUUGUUGUGCACUGUGGUGCAAGUUGCAGACACGGCUCGGUUCCCGUGUUACUGUGGCUGUGGCUUAGGCAGCUGUGGCUCCGAUUCGACCCCUAGCCAGGGAACUUCCAUAUGCCACAGAUGCAGCCCUAAAAAAAGCAAAAUAAGUAAAUAAAUAGUGACAUCAAUAGGUUGGAAACAAUCAGAUGUAAAAAGAUACACAAUAUGAACAGUAAGCACAGAAAGCCAGAGUGGCUGUUGUAAGAACAGACAAAGUAGACUGCAAGACAAAGGGCAUGACCAGAGAUCCUCCGGUAACACACUGCCUUCUCUAAAGAUCUCUCCUGCAAUAGUGUUUCCUAUGCCCACGUCAACCUGGUCAGCUUUUGCCAAAUACACGCUUUUUCACUUUGGUCCAUUUUCCUUUGUAGGGCUCCAGACCAAAUGUGAGAUUCAAGUGGAGUCGGGCCAGUGAAGGAAAGCUCGCACCUGCUGAGCACAGGGUUCCGGAUGCGGAGGGGGAGGAUCACCUGCGUAAGCGGGCCCUGCGGCUGCCCUUCACCUUGGCCACAGGGGAGGCCAUCCUGUAUGAGAGCAGCCUCCCUGGCCCCCUGACUGCCCUCCCAGCCAGCAAGAGGACCAGGGCAAGGCAGGGUGCCCCCACUGGCCAGGACCCUGUGUGCCCAGCCUCUCUUCUUGGAGCCGUGGUGCAGGAUGGAUCCACGUACUUGGCCUGCAUUCCACCAACCCCUCAAGGAUCACUCUUGGAGAGGUGGGGGUCUCAUGACAAACGUGAGGACAAGGAGGAGGAAGACAGCUCCCUCCUGACCCUCG